rnacentral:rRNA from 1 species
CCUACGGGUGGCUGCAGUGGGGAAUAUUGGACAUUGGGCGAAAGCCUGAUCCAGCCAUGCCGCGUGUGUGAAGAAGGCCUUCGGGUUGUAAAGCACUUUCAGUGGGGAAGAAAGCCUUGGGGCUAAUACCCUCGAGGAAGGACAUCACCCACAGAAGAAGCACCGGCUAACUCCGUGCCAGCAGCCGCGGUAAUACGGAGGGUGCGAGCGUUAAUCGGAAUUACUGGGCGUAAAGCGCGCGUAGGCGGUCUGAUAAGCCGGUUGUGAAAGCCCCGGGCUCAACCUGGGAACGGCAUCCGGAACUGUCAGGCUAGAGUGCAGGAGAGGAAGGUAGAAUUCCCGGUGUAGCGGUGAAAUGCGUAGAGAUCGGGAGGAAUACCAGUGGCGAAGGCGGCCUUCUGGACUGACACUGACGCUGAGGUGCGAAAGCGUGGGUAGCAAACAGGAUUAGAUACCCCGGUAGUC